AUUGAACGCUGGCGGCAUGCCUUACACAUGCAAGUCGAACGGCAGCACGGGAGCAAUCCUGGUGGCGAGUGGCGAACGGGUGAGUAAUAUAUCGGAACGUGCCCAGUCGUGGGGGAUAACGUAGCGAAAGCUACGCUAAUACCGCAUACGAUCUAUGGAUGAAAGCGGGGGGAUCGCAAGACCUCGCGCGAUUGGAGCGGCCGAUAUCAGAUUAGGUAGUUGGUGAGGUAAAGGCUCACCAAGCCGACGAUCUGUAGCUGGUCUGAGAGGACGACCAGCCACACUGGGACUGAGACACGGCCCAGACUCCUACGGGAGGCAGCAGUGGGGAAUUUUUGGACAAUGGGCGCAAGCCUGAUCCAGCAAUGCCGCGUGCAGGAUGAAGGCCUUC
rnacentral:rRNA from 1 species